GGCGCCCGGCUGUGAUCGGAAGAAAGGCCGGGCGGUGACGGGCUCGGCGAGACGUCUCAGUCGGCGUGCCGCGCGCAGGCAGCGUGCCUAGUAGGCGCGGUGCAGCCCGCAUCCUUCGCGUCGGCGGGGUCCUCGUGGGGUCGCGCCUCGCGCUUCCCGCUUCUCCAUUCCCGCCCGCUGGCACGAGGUGGGCGCGCGGCCGGCCCUGAAAGCUACCGCGCGCUGAGGAGAGCGGAGAUGGGGCUGAGGCUGUAGGGCGGCCCGCCGUGCCGGGAGGCCGAGGCAGUGUCAAGCUGAUGGGCUGCAACACCCCUUCUUUACCCCCUUUCUUAGUGUCGUUCUCGGCGCAUCGCCUGCGUGCGAAGGGCGCGAUUAUCCUGUGUGUGCAAGCAGCGCGGCCGUGCCCCAGGUAAAGCCUUUUUCAGUCAUCAGUACAAAAGUGGACAGAAAAAAUGUUGCAAGAAAACUUCUUCUCUGAAGGGUAUAUGCUGAGUCACGGCCUGAACCUCUGAUUGAUUCAAUUCACCUGUGCUGCCAGAAAGGGUGGAGCCUGGCUCCACCUCUCCUACACCCAUGUAAGAGCUGGCUGCUAGUAGGGAAGGAUCUCUUCUGGAGAGGGAACUCUGCUGGAGUUUUGAAAGUGAG